CUCUCAGAUGACCUUCCAGAAUAGAAUAAGCUUGGAAAUGAUUUUAGCAGAAAAAGGGAGAGUAUGUAAAAUACUCCCAGACACCAUGACAUGCUGUACCUAUAUUCCAGAUAAUACAGGCCCUAAUGGUAAGGUAACAUUGGCAAUAGAAAAGUUAAAGAGUUUGUCCAAUGAACUGAAACGAAAUUCUGGGGCCACAGAUCCAUG